UGGCGUUAGUCUGGUCAUGGAUUCAUGCUAUUGUACAUGUGGCUUUACAACCGAUUCUGCAUGUAGCAUCGACAGAAGAUGGCGUUCACCUACAACUAGCUUCCAUCAAAUUCUGUACUCAUCUUCUAUUACCCGGAGUAUUUAAUCACCUGACAUUCACGAUAUAUGACAGUGGAGUGCAGAGUAGAAAAAAAAAUUACGUACGAAUUUAUCUGACACCGCAAUUAUUAGGAACGUACCAAACAAUAUGAUAUCUGGAUUAAAACAUCCACCAUUAUCGUUCUUGGAGGCUUCGUUGCUUUUGGAAUAAAGAAACCCUAAAUACCGAAGACUGUGCCUUGUCGUUGAAAUGAAAUGAGCUCAGAUCAGGCAAGAUGUUGGCAUAGCUGAGGACUUUAAUAUCAGCUGUGCUGCAUGUUGCCAUCUUUGGGCUCGUGUUGACUGCAAUACAGAGAUUCUGAAGAAUUUACCAUUCUGAAGAAUACGCCAGUAUGGGAGAAGCGAGAAGAGACUUUUAUUAAGAGAAGACCAACAGCGAACCGAUAAGAUGAGCCGAAUAAAGGAGCUGCCAAUUUGAAUUGAAGCAUUUUUCAGACCGUUAUUUACAUAGUUUAAUUGUUAUUAAUGUUUUUACUGAUGUUGUUGUUGUUGUUGUUGUUGUUGUUUAAUCUGAGGUAAGCCUCGAUAAUGCGAGAAUGUAUGAAUAAUAGCCUUUGGACCGUAACUGACCGUGCGUAGUUUUCAGACAGGCAGGAAGGGUGGGUUUGGAUCCAAUUAUACAACACACACACACACACACACACA
rnacentral:lncRNA from 1 species